GAAAGAUGUGGGGAUGAUCAAGAAAACUUUUAUAUGGCCUCAGAGUUGAUUAGAGGUUGAUUAUUCACCUUGUUGGGGAGGAUUGGGAGUCACUAGAAAAUGUCCUUAAGUAGUUGAGACUCAGUGAAGUACCUAGAAAUGAAAUGUCAAGAAGCCUGUCAAGACUUACUUGAAGAUAUUUUUAACACAAUAAAAAUACAACUGAAGCAAAUAUGGAUGAAUAUUAACAAUGUCAGAUAUGGGUCAGUACAGUAGAGUUCAGCAUGGUAUCACUUCCUAUGUCCUUUCAUAUCCCUUUGAAAUUUUUCCUAAAACAUUAAAUCACAAACACCUUGCCAUAUAUUUACUAAAGUCUAAAUACUUAAAAUGCAUCCAUAGGAAACAUCCUGCUGCUGGUGAUUAUCUCUGAACAGCAAGAUUUAGGCCCAAAGAAGAAAGGGAAAGUUUUAUUUUUAAAUUCAUGUGUUUUUGUGAUGUGUGUGUAAAAUUCUUGAAUGUUAUUUGGGUAAGAAAGUUAGAAAACAAUGUAUGACAUUACAAGAUUUGGACGUUGUCAGUAAACUGGCAGUGAUUCCGGAAGGCUGACAGGCUUAGAGAAGAGUCUGUUGGUGACAGGAGAUUUUAAUUUUCAUUUCCAUAUUCUAUAUUUGUUUAUAGGUAAUGAGAAAAUUAAAAUGCAAAAUUAAACUAAUGCAUUGUAAUUUAUGAAAGACUUCAGGCCAGGCAAAAAGAUGUAAAAAAAAAAAAAUGUCACCAGACAUUUCAACAAAAUUUAAUAAGCUCAGGUUAAAAAUAACUUACCAUAUAAUUUUAAUGGCUGUAAAGAAUUUCAUCUUCCAAAUGUGCAGUAAAUAAUCCCCAAAGAUAUAUUCAAGUUACUUCCACAGUUAGGGUUACUAACAAUGAACAGUUGCCUACCAUGCAUAACUGUUCCUCUUAGAGUGAUUCCUAAGAAUGGAAUUUCUGAUCCAGAAGACAUGAGAUAACUUUGAUAUUUACUACCAGAAAGUUUGGAAUGAAACUAUUUUCUGCCUCUCAGACUGGCAAAAAAUAGAAAUGAUUAAAAACAUAACUUGCAUGGCGGUGCAUGCCUGGAAUCCCAGCAUUUGGGAGGUUAAGGCAGAAGAAUUACUGUGAGUUUAUAGCCAGCCUGGACUACAUAACAAGACCCUGUCUCAAAAAAAUAAAAAAUAAAAAAUCACAACGGCUAAUAAGAUAUGGAAAGGUUACUUUGUGAGCCUGAAAAAGGUAAGAGACAAUUUCAAGAUAUCAGUCAAAUUUGACAAUAGACAUUCUGAUGUGGCAAGUAGUCUGGUAUGAUGGUUUGUGUUUGAAUGUCCCCCCAAAGCCUCAUGUAGUCAUCGAGGGCAGGCCUUUUAAAGAUGGCUGAAUCUGGCAUUGUGAUUGGUUCAUUGUCUAGUGCUGGGAUUAGUGCUGUGAGUGCUGCAGCCAUCCAGGGGCAGGCAGCUGGUAUACAAUAUAAGGAAGAAAGGAGACAUGCUUUUGCCUUGCCCUUUUGCUCUUUUCUCUUGUGACCCCCAUAAACAGCUGCCCCUUAACCACAUACCCAGCCUUGGAGCCAGCUGAGUAUGGAUAGAAACCUCCCCAAACUGUAAGUUAAAUAAACCUCUCCUUCUCUAACUUAGAGGGUCAAGUAUUUUGUCCCAGGAACAAGAGAAAAGUAAUCAAGACACCUGGGCAGUAUCCUAGGUGUGUUGAGUAGAUACACUCUGACACAAGCACUCAGAAUAAAGUGCAAGGAUGGUGUACCAGGUGAAAUUGUGUCCCUCUCCAAAUAUAUAUAUCCACUAGAACCUCAAACUGUGACCUUAUUUGAAAAUAGGGUCUUCGCAGAUAUAGCAAUUUAAGAUGAGGUCAUUCUAGAUUAUGGUGGGCCAUAAUUCAAGGGCUAGUGUCCUUAAAUAACAAAAAUAAAUAAAUAUGGACCCCUAAAGAGAAAGGGAUGAGAUGACACUCAGAAGACUCCAUCUGUGGUACUUUGGUACAGAAGAUGACAAAAUGAAUAUAGAUUAUCAUAGUGGAAUUGUCCGCAACAGCAAAACAAGGGAAAGAACCUAAGUGUUCAAAGUAGGAGACUGCUCUUAGGGAAACAAGCAAAACACUAUGCAGCGGUAGGCAUUGUCUAAUGAAUGCAAGAUAUGAAACAUCACCUAAGAGACACUAGCAUUUCCAUAGAAGAUGGAACGUAUGCUCGCAGAAUUACAUAGCUUGGAACAGUGAUCUCUGAGGAGAGGAAUGGGGAAGCUGCCCGUCUGUAGCUGAGGGGCUUUCACAGUGUACCCUGGCUGGAUAAGCAUUUCUGCAGUCUCCUUGUAGCUGCUGUGUGUUUAUGAGUAGUUGUUCUGUUUACUUACUUUUUGCUAGUACACGUUUGUAGUCUGCUAUGAUUGUGUGUAUCACUUGGCACUUAUACUGAACACGUGUUAUUUAAAUCGUCCUUUCAUCCCUCACCCUUCCCUGCGCCUUCCAACUUUUGAGCUGUCAUUCUUCACUGCCUACUUUUUCUUGGAGUGGCACAGGUCCCUGUGAUUUGACUUGUAUCAUUGUCUUAGAGAGUUCAAGAUGUUUAUAACAUAAAAAAAUAUUUCCCUUUGUAUUACUGAAUUUGAAAAGUGGCAAAGGCUCACGUUAAAAAUGUAGUGAAGUGUGUAUGAUGCAGAGCACACGUGUGUGCAGAUCAGAUGAGGUCUGUUCAUUGCCGCUGGCUGAGACAGCCUCAUGUCUUUGUAAUACAUCCCCUCCCACUUCGUCUCUUCUUGGCAGUUUUUUCUCUGUUGGGUUUCCCAGUUUGAUGCUGAUCACGUCUAUUGGUGGUCACUUGUCCUGUGCAUUUCCUCUAGGUUGCUAUUAAAAUAGGAAAGGCAGUAUGUUUUUAUUUUGAUUUAUCUAUUUUUUGCAGCCCUUUCUGCAAAACAGGGUUAUGUAAACAGGGUUAUGUUCUUUCAUCAGAAGUCCUGUAAUAUGCAGCCAUCUGUUUUUAAAUGUACGGAGCCAGGAAUGACCAUUUUUAGACGUAUUCAUUCAUCAGAAUUGGCACAUUACAGGCAGUAAUGAUUUUAAUGAAAUCUGCCCACACGACUGCUUUUUGUUGAAUGCCAGCCAGAGUAUGUAUCUGUCCCUGGCCAAGUUUCAUCAAGGUGAUAGCUGAGGUUUCUUUUGACCCCAUCCAGAGUAACUGACCAUUAGAGGUCCUGAUUCAUACACCGGGAACCUCAGAGACAGAGGAGCCGGGUCCUGCACAGGUGCUGCUCUGGCUGGAGCCUGGCCAUGAGCUCACCUUGGCCUCCAGCCCAGAGCUGUCCGCAGAGCCCACGGGGGACUUCCUUCCUCCCUUUCCAGAUGGGCCUGAACCUACCCUUGCUGUCGCUGGCCCUGUUAAUUCUGGUUUUCAUUUCUGCAGGUCAGGCUGGAUUUUUGAAGAAGCCUGAAGACUUACUGUCAAUGGUGGAAAAGCUGCAGAAAGAGGGGACCCUGGAGCCACAGAUCGAGGAUCUCAUUCACCGGAUCUACAAGCUUCAGCAAGCAAAGAAGAAAUCCGGCGAGGAACUGGGAGAGACGCAAGCUCUCUGGGAGGCCCUGAAUAGGGAAUUGGAUUCCUUGAAUGGAGAGAACCUGCACCUAGAGGAGGUCUUGAACAAAAAGCAAGGUAGGCACCUGCUGCCGUGUCUUCUCAUCCCACCCCUGCUCCACCAACCCCCAUUCUCCAGAAGAGCUGGAGGAGCCUCACUGAGUCCUGGGCUCGGAUGCCCCCUCUGCUCAGAUCUCUGUCUUAGUGGCCUCCUCGCAUCCCGAGUCCUGGGUGCCCCCUGCGACUUGGGGCCCCUUCCCUCUGCCCACACUCCCCUCCCCAGGCAGGGCCAUCAGCUUCCUCUCUCCUCAGAGGCACUGAGGAUCCUCCAGCAGCAUCGCCAGGCCCAAGAAAGUGGGGCUCCGAGGUCGGCUGCAGAAGAGCAGCUGAAGGAUCCGGUGGCCCGGCACAAGGCCCUCUGGGAGUUCCGUGUGAGCCACUGCCGUCGCCCUCCACGAAGCCUCUUCUGACCUCAGUGUCUUUGCUGACUGCCCGGUGCCCUGGCCUGCUCAGACCCAAGGCCACGGGACGGUUCCUGACUCCUGUGCCCCUGUCCCCUCGUACCUUCAGUCGGCCCACUCUGCAUCACGCCCCACUGCUACUACAUCGCAGUCGCAUGGCAAAGCCGGCUUCCCUGGUGUCCUACAGAGGUCACCUGACAGUGGCGAGCGGGAGCCCCUAGAGAGCCUUGGUUCCCUGUGGUGGCAUUGGGCCAUUCCUGGCAGGGCAGGGCAGGGCGAGGCAGCCUUCUCCCCCAGGCUGGAAGGGGGAGGCUAGCUUGGGACAGACUCUACCAGGAAAAUAAGAGAGCGCGUCAUUUCGGGAGCAAACGAGACAGAGAGAGAGGUGCAGCUGUGUGGGUGAAGCCGUGCAGGUGUGUGGGUUCAGAGGCUCCUGGCAGGAGAGAAGGUGGAUGCAAUGCAGGGCCCCAGCUGACCUCUGCUUGGCGCAUUUUCAGAACGGCCAGCAGGGGGCGCGGGAGGUGGGGAGCGUGAGCCUAAAUGAAGUUUGAGUACCCGGAGGGAGAGAUGCAAUGAGCGACUGGGUGAACUGGGGCUCGGGCCACUGCAGAACCCGCGCACUUAGUUCAUAUUUGAAUGAAUGAGUGACCCAAAGAAGGGAGCCUGGUGCGCGCGCGGCUGCAGGAGGUGGAGCAGCGGCUGCGCCCGGCGCCCGAGCUCGGGGGCGCCCCGGCAGCGACAGGCGGUCCGGAAGCGGAGAUCCAGAGCUUGGAGAGACGGUCCCGGAGCGCCCCA